rnacentral:rRNA from 1 species
UACGUAGGGGGCAAGCGUUGUCCGGAUUUAUUGGGCGUAAAGAGCGUGUAGGCGGCCUGGAAGGUCAGCUGUGAAAACUCGAGGCUCAACCUCGAGACGUCGGUUGAAACCACCUGGCUAGAGUCCGGAAGAGGAGAGUGGAAUUCCCGGUGUAGCGGUGAAAUGCGUAGAGAUCGGAAAGAACACCAACGGCGAAAGCACUCUGCUGGGCCGACACUGACACUGAGAGACGAAAGCUAGGGGAGCGAAUGGG